rnacentral:lncRNA from 1 species
CUUGUUUGCAGUUGAAGUUGGAGACAGAGUCCGGCUCCCGUAGGAGUCCGGACGAAGUUUGUCUGUAGUCGAAGUUGGAGAUGGAGUUCGGCUUCCGUAGGAGUCCAGACGAAGUUUUCCUGUAGAAUCCUCGAGGGGUCACUCCUGACACGAACUUCGACUGGGGGGGUUUUACACCCAACAAUAUCUAUCAGCAGACCCACCAGUGACAGUCGGGAGAGUGGACAAUGGAGAGCCAGAAGCUCUUUGUAAGUUUUCUCAAUUAAUUUUUUAUUCAUAAUUUAAUCUUUAUUAAAAAAUUAAAAUAACUCAAAUUUUUAUUU